rnacentral:sRNA from 1 species
AUCCCCGCACCACCAACGAACAAAGUGUAACCUAAUAACCCAAAUACAACUGAUGGUACACCAGCUAAAUUGGAAAUACUGAUUUUAACAAACUGAGUAAAUUUGUUGUUUUUCGCAUAUUCUUCUAAGUAUAUAGCUGUACCUA